rnacentral:rRNA from 1 species
ACGGGAGGCAGCAGUGGGGAAUAUUGGGCAAUGGGCGAAAGCCUGACCCAGCAACGCCGCGUGAGGGAAGAAGGUUUUCGGAUUGUAAACCUCUGUCCUAAGGGAAGAAGGAAGUGACGGUACCUUAGGAGGAAGCCCCGGCUAACUACGUGGCAGCAGCCGCGGUAAUACGUAGGGGGCGAGCGUUGUCCGGAAUGACUGGGCGUAAAGGGCGUGUAGGCGGCCUGUUAAGUCUGGAGUGAAAGUCCUGUUUUUAAGAUGGGAAUUGCUUUGGAUACUGAUAGGCUUGAGUGCAGGAGAGGUUAUCGGAAUUCCCGGUGUAGCGGUGAAAUGCGUAGAGAUCGGGAGGAACACCAGUGGCGAAGGCGGGUAACUGGACUGCAACUGACGCUGAGGCGCGAAAGUGUGGGGAGCAAACAGGAUUAGAUACCCUGGUA